CUACGGGUGGCACCAGUGGGGAAUAUUGCACAAUGGGCGCAAGCCUGAUGCAGCCAUGCCGCGUGUAUGAAGAAGGCCUUCGGGUUGUAAAGUACUUUCAGCGGGGAGGAAGGGAGUAAAGUUAAUACCUUUGCUAAUUGACGUUACCCGCAGAAGAAGCACCGGCUAACUCCGUGCCAGCAGCCGCGGUAAUACGGAGGGUGCAAGCGUUAAUCGGAAUUACUGGGCGUAAAGCGCACGCAGGCGGUUUGUUAAGUCAGAUGUGAAAUCCCCGGGCUCAACCUGGGAACUGCAUCUGAUACUGGCAAGCUUGAGUCUCGUAGAGGGGGGUAGAAUUCCAGGUGUAGCGGUGAAAUGCGUAGAGAUCUGGAGGAAUACCGGUGGCGAAGGCGGCCCCCUGGACGAAGACUGACGCUCAGGUGCGAAAGCGUGGGGGGCAAACAGGAUUAGAUACCCGGGUAGUC
rnacentral:rRNA from 1 species